rnacentral:rRNA from 1 species
UACGAAGGGGGCUAGCGUUGUUCGGAUUUACUGGGCGUAAAGCGCACGUAGGCGGAUCGUUAAGUCGGGGGUGAAAUCCUGGAGCUCAACUCCAGAACUGCCUUUGAUACGUGGCAAUCUUGAGUCCGGAAGAGGUGAGUGGAACUCCUAGUGUAGAGGUGGAAUUCGUAGAUAUUAGGAAGAACACCAGUGGCGAAGGCGGCUCACUGGUCCGGUACUGACGCUGAGGUGCGAAAGCGUGGGGAGCAAACA